CUCAGGAUGAACGCUGGCGGCGUGCCUAAUACAUGCAAGUCGAGCGAACRGACGAGAGUGCUUGCACUCUCUGAYGUUAGCGGCGGACGGGUGAGUAACACGUGGGUAACCUACCUAUAAGACUGGGAUAACUUCGGGAAACCGGAGCUAAUACCGGAUAAUAUCUAGCUUCGCAUGAAGCAAUAGUGAAAGACGGUUCUGCUGUCACUUAUAGAUGGACCCGCGGUGUAUUAGCUAGUUGGUGAGGUAACGGCUCACCAAGGCAACGAUACAUAGCCGACCUGAGAGGGUGAUCGGCCACACUGGGACUGAGACACGGCCCAGACUCCUACGGGAGGCAGCAGUAGGGAAUCUUCCGCAAUGGACGAAAGUCUGACGGAGCAACGCCGCGUGAGUGAAGAAGGUUUUCGGAUCGUAAAACUCUGUUGUAAGGGAAGAACAAGUACGUUAGUAACUGAACGUACCUUGACGGUACCUUACCAGAAAGCCACGGCUAACUACGUGCCAGCAGCCGCGGUAAUACGUAGGAGGCAAGCGUUAUCCGGAAUUAUUGGGCGUAAAGCGCGCGUAGGCGGUCUCUUAAGUCUGAUGUGAAAGCCCCCGGCUCAACCGGGGAGGGUCAUUGGAAACUGGGAGACUUGAGUGCAGAAGAGGAGAGUGGAAUUCCAUGUGUAGCGGUGAAAUGCGCAGAGAUAUGGAGGAACACCAGUGGCGAAGGCGGCUCUCUGGUCUGUAACUGACGCUGAGGUGCGAAAGCGUGGGGAUCAAACAGG
rnacentral:rRNA from 1 species